UAAUACUCUAUACUCCUGUCUUACAUAAGUUAGAUAGGGAAAGUUUUUCGGUGUAGGAUGAGGCUAUAUUGUAUCAGCUAGUUGGUGAGGUAAUGGCUCACCAAGGCUAUGACGCAUAACUGGUCUGAGAGGAUGAUCAGUCACACUGGAACUGAGACACGGUCCAGACUCCUACGGGAGGCAGCAGUAGGGAAUAUUGCUCAAUGGGGGAAACCCUGAAGCAGCAACGCCGCGUGGAGGAUGACACUUUUCGGAGCGUAAACUCCUUUUGUUAGGGAAGAAUAAUGACGGUACCUAACGAAUAAGCACCGGCUAACUCCGUGCCAGCAGCCGCGGUAAUACGGAGGGUGCAAGCGUUACUCGGAAUCACUGGGCGUAAAGGACGCGUAGGCGGAUUAUCAAGUCUCUUGUGAAAUCCUAUGGCUUAACCAUAGAACUGCUUGGGAAACUGAUAAUCUAGAGUGAGGGAGAGGCAGAUGGAAUUGGUGGUGUAGGGGUAAAAUCCGUAGAGAUCACCAGGAAUACCCAUUGCGAAGGCGAUCUGCUGGAACUCAACUGACGCUAAUGCGUGAAAGCGUGGGGAGCAAACAGGAUUAGAUACCCUGGUAGUCCACGCCCUAAACGAUGUAUACUAGUUGUUGCUAAGCUAGUCUUGGCAGUAAUGCACCUAACGGAUUAAGUAUACCGCCUGGGGAGUACGGUCGCAAGAUUAAAACUCAAAGGAAUAGACGGGGACCCGCACAAGCGGUGGAGCAUGUGGUUUAAUUCGAAGAUACGCGAAGAACCUUACCCGGACUUGAUAUCUAACAAAUCAUCCAGAGAUGGAAGAGUGUCUGCUUGCAGAAAUGUUAAGACAGGUGCUGCACGGCUGUCGUCAGCUCGUGUCGUGAGAUGUUGGGUUAAGUCCCGCAACGAGCGCAACCCACGUCAUUAGUUGCUAACAGUUCGGCUGAGCACUCUAAUGAGACUGCCUUCGUAAGGAGGAGGAAGGUGUGGACGACGUCAAGUCAUCAUGGCCCUUAUGUCCGGGGCGACACACGUGCUACAAUGGCAUAUACAAUGAGACGCAAUAUCGCGAGAUGGAGCAAAUCUAUAAAAUAUGUCCCAGUUCGGAUUGGAGUCUGCAACUCGACUCCAUGAAGCCGGAAUCGCU
rnacentral:rRNA from 1 species